AUUGAACGCUGGCGGCAGGCUUAACACAUGCAAGUCGAGCGAGCGGCGGACGGGUGAGUAAUGUCUGGGAAACUGCCUGAUGGAGGGGGAUAACUACUGGAAACGGUAGCUAAUACCGCAUACCAUCAGAUGUGCCCAGAUGGGAUUAGCUAGUAGGUGGGGUAAUGGCUCACCUAGGCGACGAUCCCUAGCUGGUCUGAGAGGAUGACCAGCCACAAUGGAACUGAGACACGGUGCAGACGCAUACGGGAGGCAGAAGGGGGGAAGAUGGCAAAAUGGGCGCAAGCCUGAUGCAGCCAUGCCGCGUGGGUGAAGAAGGCCGUCGGGUUGGAAAGCACGUUCAGCGAGGAGGCGUUACUCGCAGAAGAAGCACCGGCUAACUCCGUGCCAGCAGCCGCGGUAAUUC
rnacentral:rRNA from 1 species